AGAUCGGUAGCUGGUCUGAGAGGAUGAUCGGCCACAUUGGGACUGAGAUACGGCCCAAACUCCUACGGGAGGCAGCAGUAGGGAAUAUUGGACAAUGGGCGCAAGCCUGAUCCAGCAAUGCCGCGUGAGUGAUGAAGGCGUUAUGCGUUGUAAAGCUCUUUUGCCGGGGACGAUAAUGACGGUACCCGGAGAAUAAGCACCGACUAACUAUGUGCCAGCAGUCGCGGUAAUACAUAGGGUGCUAGCGUUGCCCGGAAUUAUUGGGCGUAAAGCACAUGUAGGAGGAUUUAAAAGUCAGAAGUGUAAACCCUAGGCUCAACUUAGGGCUUGCUUUUGAUACUUUAAAUCUAGAGGGAGAUAGAAGGUAGCGGAAUUUCUAGUGUAGGGGUAAAAUCCGUAGAUAUUAGAAGGAACACCGAAAGCGAAGGCAGCUAUCUGGGUCUUUCCUGACUCUGAGAUGUGAAAGCGUGGGGAGCAAACAGGAUUAGAUACCCUGGUAGUCCACGCUGUAAACGAUGAAUGUUAAGUAUUCGGAUUUUUAUCUGGGUGCUACAGCUAACGCGUGAAACAUUCCGCCUGGGAAUUACGGUCGCAAGACUAAAACUUAAACCGGAAUUGACGGGGGCCCGCACAAGCGGUGGAGCAUGUGGUUUAAUUCGAUAUUAACCGAAGAACCUUACCAGUUCUUGACAUGUAACUUAUAAGUCUGACCAGAGAUGGCAGAUGUGGGCAACCAAAGUUAUGCAGGUAAUGCAUGGCUGUCGUCAGCUCGUGCCGUGAGGUGUUAGGUUAAGUCCUGUAACGAGCGCAACCCCUUUCUUUAUUUGCCAGCGAGUAAUGUCGGGAACUAUAAAGAUACUGCCUGUGAUAAACAGGAGGAAGGUGGGGAUGAUGUCAAGUCAUCACGUCCCUUAUGAACUGGGCUACACACGUGCUACAAUGGCGCUAACAACGAGUCGCAACACCGUGAGGUGAAGCUAAUCUUUUAAAAAGUGUCUUAGUUCGGAUUGAAGUCUGCAACUCGACUUCAUGAAGCCGGAAUCGCUAGUAAUCGUGGAUCAGAAUGUCGCGGUGAAUACGUUCCCGGGCCUUGUACACACUGCCCGUCAAGCCAUGGGAGUUGAAUUUAUCUUAGUGCAUUGAGCUAACCGUAAGGAGGCAAAUGCUAACGGUAAAUUUAAUGACUGGGGUUAAGUCGAACAAGGUAGCCGUAGGGGAAUCUGUGGCUG
rnacentral:rRNA from 1 species